rnacentral:rRNA from 1 species
CUACGGGAUGCUCCAGUGGGGAAUCUUGGACAAUGGGCGCAAGCCUGAUCCAGCCAUGCCGCGUGAGUGAAGAAGGUCUUCGGAUUGUAAAGCUCUUUUACCAGGGACGAUAAUGACGGUACCUGGAGAAUAAGCCCCGGCAAACUUCGUGCCAGCAGCCGCGGUAAUACGAAGGGGGCUAGCGUUGUUCGGAAUUACUGGGCGUAAAGCGCACGUAGGCGGGUCGUUAAGUCAGGGGUGAAAUCCCGGAGCUCAACUCCGGAACUGCCUUUGAUACUGGCGAUCUUGAGAUCGGAAGAGGUGAGUGGAAUUCCCAGUGUAGAGGUGAAAUUCGUAGAUAUUGGGAAGAACACCAGUGGCGAAGGCGGCUCACUGGUCCGACACUGACGCUGAGGUGCGAAAGCGUGGGGAGCAAACAGGAUUGGAUACCCUAGUAGUC